rnacentral:tRNA from 1 species
GGAGAGAUGGCAGAGUGGUCGAUUGCGGCGGUCUUGAAAACCGUUGUGCCGUGAGGUACCGUGGGUUCGAAUCCUACUCUCUCCG